rnacentral:rRNA from 1 species
AUGAAGAAGUUUAUUCAGAACAGAGUUGCAUCUUGUUUGAUUUGUCAGCAAGCUAAACCAGAAAGGGUUUCUUAUCCUGGCUUACUAGCUCCUCUACCUGUUCCACCUAGAGCUUGGCAUACAGUUAGCAUGGAUUUUAUCUCUGGCUUGCCUCUCUUUGGUAAUGUUGAUUGUAUCUUGGUGGUAAUUGAUAAGUUCACCAAAUAUGGUCAUUUCUUACCUCUCAAGCACCCCUUUACAGCAAACAGAGUGGCUGAUAUUUUUCUGUACAAUAUCUACAAGUUGCAUAGUAUGCCCAAGUUUGUUGUCUCUGACAGGGAUCCUAUCUUCACUAGUUCGUUCUGGAAAACCUUCCUCUCCAAAACUGGGUGUCAACUGAAGAUGAGCUCUGCUUACCAUCCUGCUACGGAUGGUCAAACUGAACGUGUCAAUCAGCAGAUUGAAUGUUAUCUCCGAUGUUUCAUUAGUGCUCAUCCCAAGCAAUGGGCUAAGUGGCUUCCUAUGUGUGAGCUUUGGUAUAAUACCAAUUGGCAUUCUUCUCUGAAUAAAUCUCCAUUUGAGGUACUAUAUGGUCAUAGCCCUUACUACUUUGGAGUAUCUGCAUCAGAUACUAUUACUAUCACUGAUGUUCAACAAUGGUUGGAUGAGAGAAACGUUGUCAUUGAAUCAGUCCGGCAAUACUUACUGUGUGCUCAGAACCGCAUGAAAGUUUAG